CUAAGUUCUUGUCCUAAGAGCCCCUUUUUAGAAUUUUCUCAAGUACAGUAUAAAAUCAACACUCUUCUAGCUGCAGAGCUCUGCUACUAACUCAGACCAAAAUUCUACCUUUUGUAUCAGGGAGAUUUAAAUUAAGCUAAACCAGAAAUCCCGAGUUGUAAAGAGCCAAGGAGCUUAUCUCAAAGGUAGCAGCCUUAUUUUAAAAGCCCCCUGGUAGAGACAUUUUAAACAAUUUACAUAUAUCUGGCUAGAGCUUAAAUUAAUCAAGCUAAGCAUUUUGCCGUACCAGGGCAAAAAGAAAACACUAUCGGGGGCCACUCGCUAUUGAAACACAAUUUGCCUUAUAAACUGUAGCGGGAUAAACCCCUUCUUUUUAGAAAGAGAUAAAAAUUUUGUCCGUUCGCUCUAACCCUUAACUGCAUACAAUCAUUUACAAUAAAUCUAUUAGUAAGUAAAUUUUAACCCUUGCUCCCAGAAGCUAAAAAUAACCUCCUGCGUAAAAAAAGGAACUCGACAUAUUCAAACCCCGACUGUUUAUCAAAAACAUAGCUUACAUUAUUAUAAGUGUGUUCUGCCCAGUGAUUUUUAACGGCCGCAGUAUCCUGACUGUGCUAAGGUAGCAUAAUCACUUGUUGCUUAAUUGGCAACUGGAAUGAAAGAAUAAACGUGGGCGUAGUUGUCUCUUUUUCGAAGCUUAAUUUGAUAUAGCAGUAAAAAAGCUGCUGCAAGUUAGAGGGACGACAAGACCCUACAAAGCUUUACUCUUACCUAGGCUAGGCCUUAUAACAGAGUUUGACUGGGGCGGUAGCAAUUAACAUAAACAAAAGAAAUCUAAACUCCUUGAGAGACCUCAGCCUGCCUUUUUAGACUAGAAAAAAAGCUACUUUAGGGAUAACAGCGUAAUAUAGCCUAAGAGACCUAAUCGUUGGCUUAUCUUACGACCUCGAUGUUGAAUUGAGAGCUCUAUUUGCAGCAGCCUGUAAAUAAGAAAGUCUGUUCGACUUGUAACAUCUCACAUGAUUUGAGUUCAGACCGGCGUGAGCCAGGUUAGUUUCUAUCUUCUAACAACAGCAUAAAAAGAUUGUACGAAAGGACCUCUUUACCAGCCUAAGGUUCCUAGUAGCGAAUAAAAUCAUUUCUU
rnacentral:rRNA from 1 species